AAAAAAAAAGGUGAGUAACACGUGAGUGAUCUGCCCCCAACUUUGUUCUAAGCCUGGGAACCUGGGUCUAAUUCCCGAUAUGACUUCAGGGUGGUUCCUUUGGUGGAAACCGAUUUUCUAGUGGUUGGGGAUUGUCUGGCGGCCGAUCAGCUUGUUGUUGGGGUAAUGGCCUACCAAGGCGGCGACGGGUAGCCGGCCUGAGAGGGUGGAGGGCCACAUUGGGAAGGGGAUACGGACAAGAAUACUACGGGAGGCAGAAGGGGGGAAUAUUACACAAUGGGCGGAAGCUUGAGGCAGCGACGCCGCGUGGGGGAUUACUGUUUUUU
rnacentral:rRNA from 1 species